rnacentral:rRNA from 1 species
AGAGUUUGAUCAUGGCUCAGAACGAACGCUGGCGGCAGGCUUAACACAUGCAAGUCGAACGCGUGUAGCAAUACACGAGUGGCGCACGGGUGAGUAACGCGUGGAUAUCUGCCUUUUGGUUCGGAAUAACUCCGGGAAACUGGAGCUAAUACCGGAUGGUUCCUACGGGAUAAAGAUUUAUCGCCAAAAGAUGAGUCCGCGUACGAUUAGCUAGUUGGUGAGGUAAUGGCUCACCAAGGCGACGAUCGUUAGCUGGUCUGAGAGGACGAUCAGCCACACUGGGACUGAGACACGGCCCAGACUCCUACGGGAGGCAGCAGUGGGGAAUAUUGGACAAUGGGGGCAACCCUGAUCCAGCCAUGCCGCGUGAGUGAUGAAGGCCUUCGGGUUGUAAAGCUCUUUUGGCGGGGACGAUGAUGACGGUACCCGCAGAAUAAGCCCCGGCUAACUUCGUGCCAGCAGCCGCGGUAAUUC